GGAGCCAGGAGUGUUAAAAGUGGCCAUUCAUACCCAGUUGAGAGUGUGGAGAAGUUCAGCUGGAAAGGGUGCUUGGGAUUUAACUCCUCAGAAGAGUUGCAGCUCCAGCUAUUGGAGCAGCUGGAAAAGGUAUGGAAAUGAGCUUGGAGGUCUGUGAGGGGCUGGAAAGAAUCAGACUUAGGAGGGGGCAAGGCUUCCUGGAGGGGAGGGUGGGGGUGAGGCAGGCUGAGGGAUCUGGACAGUAAGCAGGGGCAAUGGAGAGCCAUGGGGUUCUGGAUGAGGGACAUGAUGUAUUUGGGGAGAUCACUCAUGCAGCCAGGGAAGAGGUUGGGUUAGAGAGGGAUAAAAAGGGGGCCCAUUUGGGGAUUGGGAACAACCCCUAAGGCGGUAAAGACACCUGGGCUGGUCUGGGGUUUGGGGUUGGAGCAUGCAGAUAAAAGACCACACUGAGGCACAUUUGAAGGAAAACUCCGUGUGAAGAUGAAGGAGUGGUGAGUGGGCUGGGCUGGCCCUAGCAGGUGCAUGACCUGGGAAGGAAUUCUGGGAGAGAUGGGCUGGUCGGGGACUCAAGGUGAUCACAGUGAAUUUCAGGUGAUGCUGGGGAGUCUGGGAGCUGUCUAGUGAGGGGCUAGUGAUGCCAGUUGGAAGUUAGGACUGAAGUACCAAUUUGGGAGUCAUUUUUCCACAUCUAUUGACACUCAAUACACAUAUAAAAUAGGGCCCCUUGGAGGGUCAUUCCUAUGGGGUUGCUAGUUGAAUUUGAAGUCUUGCUUGCAGACGAAUUUGUCAUAGGAAAAAGCGGAGGGGUAAAGCACUGGAAACCUGCAUCCUAAGCCUGGCUGGGCCCCUUCUGCAUAGCGAGGGAGUGAGGAGAGAGCUGCUGGGAGAGUCAGCGAGAGGUUGGAGAACUAGGAGAGGGCAUUGCCAGCGCUGCCGGCUGCAGGGAACAGGCCUAGGAGCUGGCAGAGUAGCAGGGUGGAAGCCAGGAACAGUGGAGCUGCUGAGGGUGAAGAUGACUCAGGGGCGGGAGGAAUUUGGGAGUUCAAGGAGAGUGGACCGAGCCGUGGUUCAGGAGGCAAGUUGAAGAGGGUGUGUACAUGAGAACGGGGCGGUGGUGGGGUGCGGAAACACUGAGGCCUGCAGAGGGGAAGGGAGCAGGAGAAGAGCGUUUCCCUGAACUAGGGUUCACAGGGAACCACCCCCAACCUCAGCCAACCUCAGGUCCAAAGUAGUGGAUUUCUCCAGGCUCUAUUCUCUGACUUCCACCUCCCCGCAACACACACACUUGACCCCCAAUUUGAGGCUAUUUCCUCUGCCCUGGCCUCAAGGAACAUGGAGAAAAAUAGCCUGUGUCCUCACUCAUCUGGCUCCAGGGGAUUCCCUGCCUCCUCUGCCCUCAGCAUUCCCUUCCCUAGGAGAAAGCUCUGCUCCCGUAAGGUGACCUGACUUUAGAGUUUUUCCUAUUUGCCAUCCUCAGUGCAUAUGGGCUUUCAAACAGUGUGUGGGCCACCCUGCAUCUCCCACUUCCCCCAGUCAUCAUCUGCCACUGCUAUUCAGGCCCAACUAGGCUUUUCUUGGCUGUUGCUUUGAUCACAGUCCCUUCUGAGAAGUGGCGCCCCGACUCCCUCCCCCACCAGCUCCCUGGUCUCUUUGAGUCUGUCACCGGAGUUAGGAAUCUGCAUGGGAUGUUGAAAACUCCUCUCCUCUAGGAAUCCUCCUCCAAUUGGGCUCAUUCAAUUCUUAUUGCUCCUUUCCUCGGUUGAGUCUGCAGAUAUGGAGUCCACUUAGAUAACUUUGCAGAUAAAAAGCAGCUCGUGCUCUGCUAUCUGACUGGGAACCAUUUUUGCCUCUAUUGCAUUGUAAUAUUCUGUAAGGGAACUAGAGCUCACCUAGUCCAGGAGUUUCCAAGGAUAUUUUUAACCUUAGAACCUUCAAUUCUGAAUGUACACACACACACACACACACACACACACACACACACACACACAUACACACAGAGAGAGAGAGAGAGAGAGAGAGAGAGAAAAGCAGAAAUACGUUGGCUGAAAUUUACCCUUGCUCUAACCUUUACCCAUAGCAGCCCUAGACACCCCUGAGAACCCUUAGAGCUCCAUGGAGCACAUUCUGAAAGCCCAAUUUCUUCACUUACAGAUGAGAAAGGCCCAGAGAAGUGAAGGGACUCUCCCAAGGUCACACAGCAGGAGCAAAAACUCAGGAUUCCCCCAAUUCCCAAUUCUAGCAUUCUAGGACUUAUUAACAUCCAGCCAAGCUCUCCCUCUAGUGUUUUUUAAAAAUGUAAUUUGUGUUUUUCAUUCAUUCACACAGCAGAUAUUUACUGAGCACCUACUAUGUGCCCAGUACACAGUCUGCCCUUAAGACUAUUAGGUACAAGUCCUAGGAGUCAAUGGGAAGCAAAAACAGACACUGUCUGCCCUCAUAGGGCUUUCAGUCUAGUGGUAGGGACUGAAAAACUUCAUGUGUGAGAAGUGCCACAAAGGAGAGAUCAAUGGUAUGAUAAAGAGGGCUCAUUAAUGGGGGAUUUAACUUAGUUAGAAAGUAACCCACAGCUGAAAGCUAAAGGUAAACUAGGAGAAGAGAGAAGAGUGUUCCAACAGAUCCAGCAGCAGCACAUACCAGAUGGGCUGCGCAGGCUGUUAAGUAGUGCUGGGGCUUUAUUCUAGGAUUAGAUUUGUGUUUCAAAAAGAUGUCUCCAGUUGCAAAGGGUAACUGAAUGCCCUGUCCCCAACCCUGACGGAGGUGGGUUCCUUUCAUUCCGUCUCCUUCUUUUGGUCUGCUUCUCUGACUAGUCGUGUUCUGCUUGGGACAUUCUUAGCAGGGCUUGUUUCCACUUUUUGUGCUGUAUCUAUUUCAGCUGUAAGGUACAUAUGUGUGAAUCUUAGUCUGUGAAUGUAUUGCCACUGUAUCAUUCAAUAAAUAUUAAGUUAUUAAGUGCCGCUAUGAAGCAGAUACUGUCAAAUUAUCAUUAUGGGCAACGAACAUCAUGAGUGAUUGUGUGUCUGUGUGUGCAACGUUGGUGAAUUGUGUCGUGUGUGAAUGUGUUAAUCAUGUGCUCUAAGUGACUGACCACAUGGGUAGCUGUGUUCUUGUAUGGUUGUUGGUGUAAGUC
rnacentral:lncRNA from 10 species